CACUAAUCACUUCGUUUUCAACUCUCUUAGCACACCUCAGCCUUGCCCGACAUGCUGAUUAUUUAUAAUAUGCUGCACCUCACUCAGAUGUUACAUGGUAACAAUCUCUUAUUUUUGUUUCAGAUUUUAUGCUUAUUUAUCAUUCAUCUACAGCUACGGAGAACAGUUUCGUGAAUUUUUUGGAAUUUUUAAUCAUUAAUUUUAAACUUUAACUCACUCAAACAAUGAAAUAUGUUGUAUAUCUUUCUGUUUAAAAUUUAAUUGUUUUUUUUACAUUUUGUGCUUUUAUUUUUAUACAAUAAAAAAAGUUAGAGCUCUAAGGGAU
rnacentral:lncRNA from 1 species